rnacentral:rRNA from 1 species
GACGUAGGGCGCGAGCGUUGUCCGGAUUUAUUGGGCGUAAAGAGCUCGUAGGCGGCUUGUCACGUCGGAUGUGAAAGCCCGGGGCUUAACCCCGGGUCUGCAUUCGAUGCGGGCAGGCUAGAGUUCGGUAGGGGAGAUCGGAAUUCCUGGUGUAGCGGUGAAAUGCGCAGAUAUCAGGAGGAACACCGGUGGCGAAGGCGGAUCUCUGGGCCGAUACUGACGCUGAGGAGCGAAAGCGUGGGGAGCGAACAGG